AUACCUUUCUAGGCCUUUUUUGCUAAGAUCAAGUGUAGUAUCUAUUUCUUAUCACUUAUAUAUGGGUCAUUGAUCCACACGAUAUUAACUAAUUUUUUUUAAGUGGAGGUCCACCACGAUAGCUUGCUAUCGGGAUCUUCAAAUGUUUCCUUGACAUUGCACUACUGGCUUGCCGGGCACACUCCCA